ensembl:processed_transcript Gm15545 predicted gene 15545
GUUAUAGGGAAAACCCCAAUUCCUGAGACGUGGAUGAGGGCGCAUUCUAGUCUGUGAUUCCGAAACCAGCCAUGAUUCGCUGUGAGCUUCCCACCCCUGUGCUGGAAGGCGCCAAGUUCUGAACACCUGUGGCCUCCUCGUGGCCUCCAGGUCCUCUGCGGGAAACACCCAGCGUCCUUUGUCUGACCAACUCCUACACGUCAAUCACCGGCAAUUCGGACGCCACCUCUUCCAGGAAAUUUCCCUGAAUCUGCAGAAAGUUACUCCUUCCCUGAGGAUGGAUGUCAGUUGCUGGAUUCGUGAACCUUCCCUUUGCCUUCAGUCCCACCAGUCUAUGGUCCAAACAUAAGAUCCUUUAAACUCCCGUAUGAGCCCUCCAGUGGGAGCUUCCGCAUAAGCUGACCGUGAAACCUCUGGAGCCAAGGAUGUCUUUAAAUCUAGAUGGUCUUGCCUCAGCCUCUCUGGUACUUGAGAUGACAGACUUGCACCACCAGAGACAAUCAUCCCGUCCCGUCCCGUGUCGUGUCGUCCCCCCCCCCNNNNNNNNNNNNNNNNNNNNNNNNNNNNNNNNNNCCGUUACACCACCACCCCACCUGCUGUGCCUCAGCCAUCUCCAGGAUCUUACUAUGUAACCCUGACUGGUCUUAGAACCCCUAGGCUGGCCUUGACCUUAUAGAGAUCCGCCUGCCUCUGCCUCCCAAGGGUUGGGAAUUAAAGGCGUGCGCCACCACU